GUGCCAGCAGCCGCGGUAAUACGGAGGGGACUAGCGUUGUUCGGAAUUACUGGGCGUAAAGCGCGCGUAGGCGGAUUAGCCAGUCAGAGGUGAAAUCCCAGGGCUCAACCCUGGAACUGCCUUUGAUACUGCUAGUCUUGAGUUCGAGAGAGGUGAGUGGAAUUGCGAGUGUAGAGGUGAAAUUCGUAGAUAUUCGCAGGAACACCAGUGGCGAAGGCGGCUCACUGGCUCGAUACUGACGCUGAGGUGCGAAAGUGUGGGGAGCAAACAGGAUUAGAUACCCUGGUAGUCCACACCGUAAACGAUGAAUGCCAGACGUCGGCAAGCAUGCUUGUCGGUGUCACACCUAACGGAUUAAGCAUUCCGCCUGGGGAGUACGGUCGCAAGAUUAAAACUCAAAGGAAUUGACGG
rnacentral:rRNA from 1 species